rnacentral:piRNA from 1 species
UGGGAUGGUUAGAAGCCUAAAUACACC